AUUUAAAUAGCUUAUAUUUAGAGCAUAGUAUUGAAGAUACUAGGGAAAUUAUUUUAAUUUUUAAGUA
rnacentral:tRNA from 1 species